rnacentral:tRNA from 1 species
GCACUCGUAGCCAAGUGGUUGAAGGCACUGGACUCAUAAUCCAUUUUCGUAAGAACUUCACUGGUUCGAAUCCAGUCGGGUGCA